AGUGAACGCUGGCGGUAGGCCUAACACAUGCAAGUCGAACGGCAGCACAGAGGAGCUUGCUCCUUGGGUGGCGAGUGGCGGACGGGUGAGGAAUACAUCGGAAUCUACUCUGUCGUGGGGGAUAGCGUAGGGAAACUUACGCUAAUACCGCAUACGACCUACGGGUGAAAGCAGGGGAUCUUCGGACCUUGCGCGAUUGAAUGAGCCGAUGUCGGAUUAGCUAGUUGGCGGGGUAAAGGCCCACCAAGGCGACGAUCCGUAGCUGGUCUGAGAGACAGAUCAGCCACACUGGAACUGAGACACGGGCCAGACUCCUACGGGGUGCAGCAGUGGGGAAUAUUGGACAAUGGGCGCAAGCCUGAUCCAGCCAUACCGCGUGGGUGAAGAAGGCCUUCGGGCUGUAAUGCCCUUUUGUUGGGAAAGAAAUCCAUCUGGUUAAUACCCGGGUUGGAUGACGGUACCCAAAGAAUAAGCACCGGCUAACUUCGUGCCAGCCGCCGCCGUAA
rnacentral:rRNA from 1 species